rnacentral:tRNA from 1 species
GGAGAGGUACCGAAGUGGUCAUAACGGAGCGGCACCGUGGGUUCGAAUCCCACUCUCUCCG